rnacentral:rRNA from 1 species
GACGAACGCUGGCGGCGUGCCUAACACAUGCAAGUCGAGCGAUGAAACCCUUCGGGGUGGAUUAGCGGCGGACGGGUGAGUAACACGUGGGUAACCUGCCUCAAAGAGGGGGAUAGCCUCCCGAAAGGGAGAUUAAUACCGCAUAACAUUAGUUUUCCGCAUAAAUAACUAAUUAAAGGAGUAAUCCGCUUUGAGAGGGACCCGCGGCGCAUAAGCUAGUUGGUGAGGUAAAGGCUCACCAAGGCGACGAUGCGUAGCCGACCUGAGAGGGUGAUCGGCCACAUUGGAACUGAGACACGGUCCAGGCUCCUACGGGGGGCAGCAGUGGGGAAUAUUGCACAAUGGGCGAAAGCCUGAUGCAGCAACGCCGCGUGAGUGAUGAAGGCCUUCGGGUUGUAAAGCUCCGUCUUUUGGGACGAUAAUGACGGUACCAAAGGAGGAAGCCACGGCUAACUACGUGCCAGCCGCCGCUGUAA